CGCCCACACCGCCCGACAGGCCGGGGCCCAUAACGCUGCCGUACCCGGUGUCUCCUGCGUCCAGCGGCAUCCUGUCCGUCUGCAGGAUGUACCCUUCCUCUCGCCCAAUGACAACCAGGGAUCGGCUCCACACAACCCUUAAAAGGAUGAGCAGUGUAGAUAAUGGACGGAUGAUUUUCAGCUCACUCCUGAAUACGUCAAAUGUGAAACCUGAUGAGUGAAUCAAUGACGUGAUCCAGCAGGUUUCUGGAGCAGUACUGUGCCACGGUGGUCCCGGCAUGUCCGUCAAAAACAGCAAAGUACCCCCACUCUGUC